GGUCCGAUGCCACGUCGCCGGUAGUUAAUGAUAAACAUAGCAAUGGCCGGCGAUGCUAUGAUUGGACCAAUAUCAAGUUUCGUAUGCUGAUAGGAAUCUGUGGAUCUGAUCAUAUCCCAUUCAUCCACAGAGCCGAUUUCUGCGAUUACAUUU